GGAUAACUUCGGGAAACCGAAGCUAAUACCGGAUACUUUCGAGCAUCGCAUGAUGCUUGAUGGAAAGACGGCUUCGGCUGUCGCUUACAGAUGGACCCGCGUCGCAUUAGCUAGUUGGUGAGGUAACGGCUCACCAAGGCGACGAUGCGUAGCCGACCUGAGAGGGUGAUCGGCCACACUGGGACUGAGACACGGCCCAGACUCCUACGGGAGGCAGCAGUAGGGAAUCUUCGGCAAUGGGCGAAAGCCUGACCGAGCAACGCCGCGUGAGCGAUGAAGGCCUUCGGGUCGUAAAGCUCUGUUGUUAAGGAAGAACAAGUACGAGAGUAACUGCUCGUACCUUGACGGUACUUAACGAGAAAGCCACGGCUAACUACGUGCCAGCAGCCGCGGUAAUACGUAGGUGGCGAGCGUUAUCCGGAAUUAUUGGGCGUAAAGCGCGCGCAGGCGGUUUCUUAAGUCUGAUGUGAAAGCCCACGGCUCAACCGUGGAGGGUCAUUGGAAACUGGGAAACUUGAGUGCAGAAGAGGAAAGCGGAAUUCCACGUGUAGCGGUGAAAUGCGUAGAGAUGUGGAGGAACACCAGUGGCGAAGGCGGCUUUCUGGUCUGUAACUGACGCUGAGGCGCGAAAGCGUGGGGAGCAAACAGGAUUAGAUACCCUGGUAGUCCACGCCGUAAACGAUGAGUGCUAAGUGUUAGAGGGUUUCCGCCCUUUAGUGCUGAAGUUAACGCAUUAAGCACUCCGCCCUGGGGAGUACGGUCGCAAGACUGAAACUCAAAGGAAUUUGACGGGGGCCCGCCACAAGCGGUGGAAGCAUGGUGGUUUAAUUCGAAGCAACGCCGAAGAACCUUUACCAGGGUCCUUGACAUCCUCUGACAUCCCGAGAGAUCGGGGCUUUUCCCUUCGGGGACAGAGUGAA
rnacentral:rRNA from 1 species